UACGUAGGGGGCAAGCGUUGUCCGGAUUUAUUGGGCGUAAAGCGCUCGCAGGCGGUCCGAUGCGUCGUGCGUGAAAGACCCCGGCUCAACUGGGGGAGGGUCGUGCGAUACGGUCGGACUCGAGGCCAGUAGGGGGGACGCGGAAUUCCUGGUGUAGCGGUGAAAUGCGCAGAUAUCAGGAGGAACACCGGUGGCGAAGGCGGGUCUCUGGGCCGAUACUGACGCUGAGGAGCGAAAGCGUGGGGGAGCGAACAGG
rnacentral:rRNA from 1 species